AACGAACGCUGGCGGCAUGCCUAACACAUGCAAGUCGAACGAGAUCUUCGGGUCUAGUGGCGGACGGGUGCGUAACGCGUGGGAAUCUGCCCUUUGGUUCGGAAUAACAGUUGGAAAAGACUGCUAAUACCGGAUGAUGACGAAAGUCCAAAGAUUUAUCGCCAGAGGAUGAGCCCGCGUAGGAUUAGCUAGUUGGUGUGGUAAAGGCGCACCAAGGCGACGAUCCUUAGCUGGUCUGAGAGGAUGAUCAGCCACACUGGGACUGAGACACGGCCCAGACUCCUACGGGAGGCAGCAGUGGGGAAUAUUGGACAAUGGGCGAAAGCCUGAUCCAGCAAUGCCGCGUGAGUGAUGAAGGCCUUAGGGUUGUAAAGCUCUUUUACCCGGGAUGAUAAUGACAGUACCGGGAGAAUAAGCUCCGGCUAACUCCGUGCCAGCAGCCGCGGUAA
rnacentral:rRNA from 1 species